CGAGAAAGAGAGAGAGAGAGAGAGAGAGAGAGAGAGAGACAGAUGGACAGAGAGAGAGAGAAAGGGAGACAGAUGGACAGAGAGAGAGAGCGAGAGAGAGAGAGAGAGAGAGAGAGAGAGAGAGACAGACAGAAAAUGAGAGAGACGGACAAACUGGGGGAGCCAAGGAACUCCUCCUCCUUACUCCCCUGCCCCCCUCCCCCCUUCUGUGGCGCUUCCAUAUCUCCCUCUCCCUCUCUCUCAUUCACUUUUCUCCUUCCCUCCGUCCCGCGUAGAAUCUACGCUGGUCCGUCUGCCACGUCAAAGCCUGCUCGCUCACUAUGGUACGUUGCGUCGCGAGAAAACCCCCGCUCAGAAGCUGAGAUGUAUUCACACACACAUACACACACACACACACACACACACAUACACACACACACACACACACACACACACACACACACACACACAGCGCUGGCAGAACUUUCCCACAACUUUAUUCGGUGCGCGGCUGGAAGGACAGAAGCAGGACCCCCACUUCGACCAAUUAGAGAUCGGGACCAGAGAAGGACGACGGUCACCACGACAACAAGAUCUGGCGGAUGGUGGGGAGAUGGAGACAGAGGUGGGAGGAGAUGGUCAGCCUGAGCCGCCUGCACGCGCACCUCUCUUCAUCAAGGGAGCCUCGGACCCACUAUGAUACUGAAGUAAAUCUAAUGUCAAACAAAACAAAAAAACACAGUAAGUUUGUGUGCCUGCCAUUCGUGGUUGUGAGUCUGUCUGUGUGUG